rnacentral:rRNA from 1 species
UACGGAGGGGGCUAGCGUUGUUCGGAAUUACUGGGCGUAAAGCGCACGUAGGCGGAUUGGCAAGUUGGAUGUGAAAGCCUUGAGCUCAACUCAAGAAAUGCAUUCAGGACUGGAUGGCUAGAGGACCGGAGAGGAUAGUGGAAUUCCCAGUGUAGUGGUGAAAUACGUAGAGAUUGGGAAGAACACCAGUGGCGAAGGCGGCUAUCUGGACGGUUUCUGACACUAAGACUCGAAAGCGUGGGGAGCAAACAGG